UUUCAUGAAAUGCAACACAUCACAACAAAUCACAUCUCGGAUGGUAUUGUCACCAAUAGUCCUCUACAUAGUCCAACUGUGCCGGGACGUAGAAUGGGUACAACCGGUCUUUCUCUUAACAUAACAUAUCAUACAUACCAAUGUGCCAGGGACAUAGAAUGGGUACAACCUGGACUUUCUCUUACAUCGUGCCAGGGACGUAGAAUGGGUACAACCUGGACUUCCAUACUAUCUCAUGCCGUAACAUCAUCAUAUCAUAUGAGGACUAAAGGAUCAUCCAAUAACCACUCCACAUCAACAUCAUAAAUGCAAUGCAACAUAUUCGUGAAUACUAAUGCAAACAACCUACUAUAUCUCAUGGCAUUCAUGAUGCAUGGGUCAUGCUCAAAAUUCAUAUUUCAUUUAUUUUAAAACUUAAGGUUUAUUCCACUCAC
rnacentral:lncRNA from 1 species